rnacentral:tRNA from 1 species
GGAGAGGUGCGUGAGUGGUUGAAACGAAACGACUGGAAAUCGUUUAGGGUGUAACAGCCCUCGGGGGUUCGAAUCCCCCCCUCUCCGCCA